rnacentral:lncRNA from 1 species
GUAGAAGAAAUAUCCUUAAAUGAAAUUUAUCAGACCAAGAUCCAAGCUAAUCGAUUAGUGAACAUUUCACACAAAUUUAACACUGCAAGAGUAUUGAAUUAUCCAAGUCCAUAUCUCAUAUAGAGUUUUGUGAUCGAUUUGCUCAGAACAUUCUCGAGCACAUAUCAAGUAGUCUCUAAAACAUGACUUCAAUCAGACCUACAAACCCCAU